ensembl:lncRNA novel transcript
GGUGGAGCCAAAUAAGGGAAUGAAAGCAGGCCACCGGAGCCUCGGAGAGGCAACCGUUUGGGGUACUCUUCCACACUGUGGCAGCUUUGUUCUUUUGCUCUUUGCAGUAAGUUUUGCUGUUGCUUACUCUUUGGGUCUGCACUGCCUUUAUGAACUGUAACACUGACCAUGGAGGUCUGCAGCUUCACUCCUCAAGCCAGCAAGACCAGGAGCCCACUGGGAGGAGGAAUGAACAACUCUGGACACGCCACCCUUAAGAGCUGUAACACUCACCGCGACGGUCUGCAGCUUCACUCCUGAAGUCAGCGAGACCACAAACCCACCAGAAGGAAGAAAAUCCGGACACAUCUGAACAUCUGAGGGAACUCCGCACACACCAUCUUUAAGAACUGUAACACUCACCACGAGGGCCCGUGGCUUCAUUCUUGAAGUCAGCAAGACCAAGAACCCACCAAUUCUGGACACAACAGGACACACACAUGGGAGGGGGAGGCCAGAGGGAAACCUAGCUGGCUUGGGGUGGGAAUUUGAAUCCCUGAGCCCAUCUUCUUCUUUCACCACUUUGUCCGGUGACAUUAGGACCAACCAACCAAUGCCAUUAUAUUUCUUAGUUUACAAGAAAAUGUUUGAAGUUCUCAUGCACAGAAUCACUUAGCUUCUUGCUUUUUACAAGUGGUUGAUUAGGAGUAUUCAAUACAGAUUUUGUGUAUCACUAUAAACAGUUCACAGCAUGGACUACUGGUGUUCUCUUUACUAACUGAAAUGGUGUCAUUAGCACCUUUAAAUCUAAUCCAUUUAGAGAGCCAGUUCCGGAAACCUCAGAACCAGUUUGGAAAACUUCCGUUCUUCUGAAGCCAUUUUUGGAACCACAUCUGUGCUAGGUUCUCCAGGGAAACAGAACCAAUAUGUUUUAUUUACUAUGGGGACUGGCUCAUAUGAUUCUGGAGGCCUAGAAGUCCCUCCCUCUCAAGAUGUGCUGUCAGCAAGCUGCAGAACCAGGAAAGCUGGUGGUGUCAGAGUCUGAAGGCCUGAGAACUGGGUGGGGAGUGGGACAGACUAAGGGGCCUUUAGUCUCUGGGUUGGUGUGGUCCCCACAGGUGAGCCUUUCGUGGAGAAGGGUGGAGAGGGGAUCUGGAAGGGCCAAUAGAAGAUACUCAGCACUAAGAGACCUUUGGACUCAGACCAGAACUUACACCAUUCAUUCAUUCAGUCGGUGAAAAUGUAUUGACCACUGUAUCAACCAGGAUUGUGACACAAAAACAGAUGGCACACUCAAAAGAGGAUAAUUCAAGAAGGGCUUCUUUAAGGGACUAUUUCCCAAGAUGGGAAUGGAGGGGAACCUGCAGGGCUAGUGUCCUACCCUCCAGCAGGCAGCAGCUAAUUCCUGAGGGGAUAAGGACGUGGUUGCGAGGACAUGGAGGGAAAGUUCUACAGAGGAGGCACAGUGGGCUUCAGGAACACCCUGCUUGAGAGGCCUGUGAGAGGGAUUGUUUUCUACUGUUUGACAUUCACGUAACCUCCUAACGCUGUCUGGGGAAGAUGCUACCCCCUGCUCUCCCCGUCUUUCCUGCACUCUCAGCAAUGGGAUGGGCUGACUGAUGCCCUGUGGGCUGGAAAGCUGACCACAGUUGCUGCAGACCAGACCCCCUCACAUAGUGAGUGCUGGGCUGAGGAAUCCAGGAGAGCCCGAGGGGGGACACUGAAGGUGUAUCGUUGGCCCUGCCAGCUGCAAGUGAACUGCUUCUGAUGAAUUUUAAUAGGGAGAAAGAAGUAUUUGCUAAGAAUGGCAAUCCUGAUGCUCAGCCUUCAACUCAUCUUGUUAUUAAUACCAUCAAUAUCCCAUGAGGCUCAUAAAACGAGUCUUUCUUCUUGGAAACAUGACCAAGAUUGGGCAAACGUCUCCAACAUGACUUUCAGCAACGGAAAACUAAGAGUCAAAGGCAUUUAUUACCGGAAUGCCGACAUUUGCUCUCGACAUCGCGUAACCUCAGCAGGCCUAACUCUGCAGGACCUUCAGCUAUGGUGUAAUUUGAGGUCAGUGGCCAGAGGACAGAUCCCGUCUACAUUAUGAGUGAAGCGGAGAGCUACUGCAGGGUUCUGAGCAGAGUCCUAAUUUAUAUUUUAGAAGAAUCAUCAUGGCUCCUAGAUUAGGAAUAAAACGAAGGGGCCCAGGGAUGGAAACGAUGAGUCCAGUUGGGUUACUGCAAAGAUCCAGGCCAGAAAUCCAGGCACAGUGGCACACACCUGAGUCCCAGAUAAUUCCACCUACUGGUCCUGCUCUGUGGCCUACUGGUCCGAGUCCAGCCCCGACUGAUUUCUGGGCCUGUAAUGUCUAAAAACGCUCCCUGCUGAUGUUUUGCAAGUGACUGUGUUACUUGAAGGCAGUUCCUAGGAUAAACUAGUCGCUUUAUC